GUGGGGGAUAUUGCGCAAUGGGGGCAACCCUGACGCAGCAACGCCGCGUGAAGGAUGAAGGUUUUCGGAUUGUAAACUUCUUUUAUUAAGGACGAAAAUUGACGGUACUUAAUGAAUAAGCUCCGGCUAACUACGUGCCAGCAGCCGCGGUAAUACGUAGGGAGCAAGCGUUGUCCGGAUUUACUGGGUGUAAAGGGUGCGUAGGCGGCUUUGCAAGUCAGAUGUGAAAUCUAUGGGCUCAACCCAUAAACUGCAUUUGAAACUGUAGAGCUUGAGUGAAGUAGAGGCAGGCGGAAUUCCCCGUGUAGCGGUGAAAUGCGUAGAGAUGGGGAGGAACACCAGUGGCGAAGGCGGCCUGCUGGGCUUUAACUGACGCUGAGGCACGAAAGCGUGGGUAGCAA
rnacentral:rRNA from 1 species